UUAAGUUUAUAGUUUAUAGGUCUGUCCCUGGCCUAGUCCUGUAUAUAAAAUCUGGCAUCAUUUGUGACAAAAUUCCAUCCUAAACCCUUUAGCAUGACAGGUUAUCCAGUCUACAAUGUCUGAGCCACUGGAACCAGAGAAAACCUGUGCUAACACUGCACCAACUCAUUCUCACUCUUUCUCCAAAUCAACUGAUGAACCUGUAAAGUCAACAAUGGAGCCUACAUCAGAAUCAACAAAUAAUCAUAACACUGUCGCCACAACAACCCACUUUCCUAAACAAUCACCGACAAAUUAUGAGACACAAACAAAUAUAAUUUCACUGCCGCCAGUCUUGUGGGUUGGUGGGAAAGACGCUGAAUUUGAUGAUACCAUUGAUAAGCAACCGGAGCUUCCUAACAUCUGUAGGCCUUUACCACUUGACGAUGAGGCUCCUACUUGGCAGGCGCCACAAGUGAAUUCAGGAUGUAAAUGCUGUUGUAGUUUUUGUGCCGAAAUUUGUGAAAUUUGUGUAAUGGUCUGUGAAAUUGAUUGUGAUGAUUACUGAAUUCUUGAAGUCGGUGUGUCAUGUACGUGUAUAAUUAUGGCUUGGCAAAUUAUGCUUUUCUAUUAUUCUUUUUGACUAUUCUGCCUAUUAUUCCAGUUUGCAUGCAUGGUGUACCCAUUAUUCCAGUUUAAAGACAUCAAUUUAUUUGUAGCUGCACUACCUGAUUUAGCCUUGUUCCCAGCCUCGUUGUCUCUAUAUAGCUAUAGUACUCUUCAACACUUCGUUCUAUUAAAAAAAUCGGCCGGGACUGAGGCUAUUGCCUGAGGUAGCAUUUAUACAGAAAGUGCAUGAACUCUAGUGCCGAAAGAAAAAAUACUCUUCCAUGCCUGCCUAGUGCACGUGGCUAUAUAUUCCUGCUAGCAUAAUUUGCCAAGCCCUAUACAAUGUAUAUGCACUCAGUGUCCAAUGAUGUCACUUUUUCAUAAACACAAACUUCCUGUGCUAUAAUUAUGUACCGUGACUGACAACUUUCAUAAUGAUUAUAAUACUUGUCAAUUGAGAGCUAAACUCAGAAGGUGAAAUAUUCAUGGCUAAUGCUGCAGCUGAAUACACGGUUACUAAGUACAGACAGUCAAUGGACGUGCCUUACGUUGCCGUAAUAAGCGUCUCUCCUUCAUCAUCCGAUGUAUCAGCAGUGUGUGGCCAAACUGAUAAUAGUCCAAGGAGUACAAAAGUUGUAGAUAACGUUUCAAAAUCACCCUCUGCAGUGAAGAGCUCGAGAUCAAAGAUAGAUCAGUUCUGUAAUGCCUGUUGCUUCUGCUGGUUUGCCUGUGGGUAUGGUACUCUGAUGAUAUGCUGUCUACCUUGCCUUCCUUGUGUAUGGUGCUGCCAGAAAUGUCCAAAUAUUUAACAUUUCCUCUCAAAUUUUUAACAAUGAUAUUUCCUAACUACAUGUGUCUAUUUAAUUAUGACACAUGACCAAUGCAGUCUUUAUGCAUGACUAUA